UUGUUGAUUUUAAAAGAUUUGAAAUUUUAAAAUUUGUGUUUGUGGCUUUAAUUGGUAAUUAUUAUUAUCAUUUUUUUUAUUUUUACAGUUGUAGAUUUAGGACUACUUACAAAUAUAACACUUUGGCCCAACUUUAUUGCAUAUAUAGCAAAAAUCCAAAAAAAUUGCAGCUAUGGGAAAAUUUGAUUCCCGCCCAUAGUAAAAGACUAAAAAGCCCACCUAUUACCAUCAGCCCACCAUCGAUCCAGUUUCAAUUUUGUUUCAAUCUUCUUUUCGUAAACCCUAACAUCAGACGAUCCAGCUUCAGACGAUAAUGAUCGACGAUUCAUUUCCAAAAACCAUACCACUGAACCUGCGAAUCAGGAGCGAGAGAGGGCAGCGACGGCGAGCAAUUGGGGGCUAAGACAGUUUUUGUCUGAGGAAAAGCUCUUCCAAUUGCGAUUGAAGAAGAUGAAUGAAAGAUUUGAGCUUAAGCUUUAGGUAUUUGAAACAAUCUAGGUAGAGAAGUUGGAGAGCUUCUAAUUUGGAAUUUCCUCAUUCGUCGAUCAUCCUCUUCCUUGCUUUGUUCCAUUCCAAGCAUGAGAUUCUUUUUGUGUGGAUAAGGGAAAGACAACUAUGAAAAGUGAACCAACAAAAAAGGGACAACAAGAACCUUUAAACUUGAAGAAUCAUCAAGCAAAAGACCAGAAGAUUGCAAGAUGCCAAAAGAAUGCAAAAGACUAGAAGAAAGCUUUUGCAAAACAAACAAGAGACAUUCGCCUAGAAUCAAGGAUUGUGUGUCUAGUUUUGACUUAAGAAUCUCCCAAAUAUUUAUAUAGUACUCUAGUUUUGUGGAUAUUGUAGUACCUUAGUUUUGUGGAUACUAUAGUACCUUAAUUUUAUGGAUAUUAUAAUCAGUGAUAGAAAAGAUAAGUGAGACUUCACAGUGAAAUAACUUUCAUAUGUACUUGAUUAUGUCAUAUGAAUAUAAAAAAUGUUGGAUCAUAGGUCGAAUCAUUGCAAUUUA